CCCGCUGAACUUAAGCAUAUCAAUAAGCGGAGGAAAAGAAACUAACAAGGAUUCCCCUAGUAACUGCGAGUGAAGCGGGAAAAGCUCAAAUUUAAAAUCUGGGGGUCCCUGUGGCCCUCCGAGUUGUAAUCUAGAGAAGUGCUAUCCGCGCUGGACCGUGUACAAGUCUCCUGGAACGGAGCGUCAUAGAGGGUGAGAAUCCCGUCUUUGACACGGACUACCAGGGCUUAUGUGAUGUGCUCUCAAAGAGUCGAGUUGUUUGGGAAUGCAGCUCUAAAUGGGUGGUAAAUUCCAUCUAAAGCUAAAUAUUGGCGAGAGACCGAUAGCGAACAAGUACCGUGAGGGAAAGAUGAAAAGAACUUUGGAAAGAGAGUUAAACAGUACGUGAAAUUGUUGAAAGGGAAACGCUUGAAGUCAGUCGCGUUGCCCCAGAAAUCAACCUUGCUUUUGCUUGGUGUACUUUCUGGUUAACGGGUCAGCAUCAAUUUUGACCGGUGGAUAAAGGUCAGGGGAAUGUGGCAUCUUCGGAUGUGUUAUAGCCCUUGGUUGCAUACAUCGAUUGGGAUUGAGGAACUCAGCAUGCCGCAAGGCCGGGUUUUUAACCACGUACAUGCUUAGGAUGCUGGCAUAAUGGCUUUAAUCGACCCGUCUUGAAACACGG
rnacentral:rRNA from 1 species